UAGUCCUACGGGACGCAGCAGUGGGGAAUAUUGCACAAUGGGCGAAAGCCUGAUGCAGCAACGCCGCGUGAAGGAAGACGGUUUUCGGAUUGUAAACUUCUAUCAAUAGGGAAGAAAGAAAUGACGGUACCUAAAUAAGAAGCCCCGGCUAACUACGUGCCAGCAGCCGCGGUAAUACGGAGGAUGCGAGCGUUAUCCGGAUUUAUUGGGUUUAAAGGGUGCGCAGGCGGAGGCACAAGUCAGCGGUAAAAUCGCGGGGCUCAACCCCGCUCCGCCGUUGAAACUGUGUCCCUUGAGUGCGCGAA
rnacentral:rRNA from 1 species